GAGGGUAUAGCUCAGUGGUAGAAUGUGUGCCUAGCGUGCAUGAGGUCCUGGGUUCGAUCCCAGUACCGCCA
rnacentral:tRNA from 1 species